rnacentral:rRNA from 1 species
UACGGAGGAGGCAAGCGUUAUCCGGAAUUAUUGGGCGUAAAGCGUCCGUAGGUGGCUCUUCAAGUCUGCUGUCAAAGAGCGGGGCUUAACCCUGCAAAGGCAGUGGAAACUGAAAGGCUAGAGAGCCGUAGGGGUAGAGGGAAUUCCCGGUGUAGCGGUGAAAUGCGUAGAUAUUGGGAGGAACACCAGUGGCGAAGGCGGCUACCUGGACCGGUUCUGACGCUGAGGCGCGAAAGCGUGGGUAGCAAACAGG